GCUGUUCGCAGGUUCAGUUGUGCGUGGGAUCCCCAGCGUGGCCUGCGCAGGGCCAGGAGCUGCGCUCGGUGAUGCUGCUGGGUCCCUUCCAUCUCAGCACAUUCUGUGACUUUCUGUCACAGGCACCGACCGGGGGGUGAGAACUCUGCCGGCCGCACAUACACGGAUUCACCGACACACGCCAAGGGAGGGAUCGCUGCCAAAGCAGGUUCUGCAUCUCCCCCAUCACCACAGGCCCCCUGGAUACUGGGAGGUUGCUGUGAGGUCUGAAGAGCCCCAGCUUUCUCCGCCUGCUGUGCCUGGGAAGAGGGUGUGGACAUGACAGGAGCUCAUCACUGCCUGCUUUGAGCUGACAGUUCACCGAAAACAUGGCAGGAGACAGGUCAGGUUGGGCAGCGAGCAGGAACUGGAACUGUAAUCAGAUUAAGGGAAGUGUCACACACCUCUGGCUCCAAGGCACAACCUGGCAUCUCUCCUCCUCCACUCUCAACCCAGUCACCCAUCCAGUCAACUUCUUGAAGUUCACACAGGGUCACAGUGAAAGGUGAAAGCUUUGUCUAUAUUCAGCUCAGGCUUCGCUGUGCCGAGCAGGAUGUUCACAAGAUCCCAUCUCUGAGGCUGUCAGCAACCUGAGAGUCCAUGUGAGGGAAGGACUUGCCCAUGGUGUAACCUGCUAACAGGAAUCCUACCUGUGAAGACUUCUGCACUGGUUCCAGAAGCACCCACCCAACAUUGCUAACUGCUGGAUCCUAUGACAAUUCACCGUGACUCCAAAUUGCCUGGCAUCAAAAUUGCUACUUAAAUCAGCAACUAACAUGGAACCAAUUAGCAAUGGACAGUUCAUGCUGUGAAAACCACAAGGUCACUUCUUGGUAAAAGGACAGCUGGAUGUAACUAGCUACAGUAGCAGCAAGGAAAAAAUAAACUUGGGAGGGAUAGUAGCAGCCAGCAAUGCAAUGGUGCUUUAGGGAAAGGGAAAUCCCAUUUUCAGAUGAAGUAGCAAUACCCCGAGAUGCAGUUACUCAGUUUUAUUCUGGUUUAUCCAACACAAACAAUGUCUCAGGUGAGGAGACUGUAAAACAGGAAUAAAAAUUACACAUGGAAGAAAAUACAGCA